GCGCCCGUAGCUCAAAAGGAUAGAGCACGAGCCUUCUAAGCUUGGGGCUGCAGGUUCGAUUCCUGCCGGGCGCG
rnacentral:tRNA from 1 species